GUGAAUCAUCAAAUUUUUGAACGCAAAUUGCACUCUCUUCGGAGAGUAUGCCUGUUUGAGGGUCAGCCUAAAAAAAAUCGACAUAAUCGCUGUUCCGCGGUGACAUUCGUCGGAAAUUGGGUCAUCUUAAACCUUUGGUUUUUUUAAGCGGCUUAAAUUUUUCUUUCGGUUCCCACAAACGUUUCUAAGAUUUCUUUACUUUUUUAAGUU
rnacentral:misc_RNA from 1 species